rnacentral:rRNA from 1 species
CCUACGGGAGGCAGCAGUGAGGAAUAUUGGUCAAUGGGAGAGAUCCUGAACCAGCCAAGCCGCGUGAGGGAAGACGGCCCUAUGGGUUGUAAACCUCUUUUGUCGGAGAACACAACCCGGGACGUGUCCCGGACUGCGUGUAUCCGAAGAAAAAUCAUCGGCUAACUCCGUGCCAGCAGCCGCGGUAAUACGGAGGAUGCGAGCGUUAUCCGGAUUUCUUGGGUUUAAGGGGUGCGUAGGCAGUCCGUUAAGUCAGCGGUAAUAUUGCGGGGCUCAACCCCGUCGAGCCGUUGAAACUGGCAGACUUGAGUUGGCGAGAAGUACGCGGAAUGCGCGGGGUAGCGGUGAAAUGCAUAGAUAUCGCGCAGAACGCCGAUUGCGAAGGCAGCGUACCGGCGCCAGACUGACGCUGAGGCACGAAAGCGUGGGGAUCGAUCAGGAUUAGAUACCCGGGUAGUC